AACACCCAGCAAGUGUGUGACCUGCACAUUUAAAACGAAGUAGCACCAUAUAAGAACAGUCCCUAGACCCAAUCCAGCGAAUCCAAUUAUUACCACAACCUCUGCAGUACGGUGCGAACAAUAAAUGCACAAAGUGCGUGCAGGUACUUAUUCCUUUCCGCUAAAAUGCUUGAUAAAAAAAAAUCCAUCGCCAAUAUUUCCUCGUAUUCAUGGAACAGUUACAUCACAGUACUAUCACACAAUGCCCACUAAAAUUGUCAUGCAAAAACGCAGGCCAACAAUUCCCUUGGGUUCCGACAAGGAAAGGGAGCACGGCUGCACGGGAGUGGCGAGAUUUGUGAACAUCAAACUGCACAGUAAAGGCAGCGAUAACGAGAUUAAACGGAGGCAGAGUCGGGAAAUGACCUUAAAGAUGAAGCGCUCAU
rnacentral:misc_RNA from 1 species